CCUACGGGAGGCAGCAGUGAGGAAUAUUGGUCAAUGGCCGGAAGGCUGAACCAGCCAAGCCGCGUGAAGGACGAAGGUGCCAAGCAUUGUAAACUUCUUUUGUCAAGGGACAAAAUCAGGCUCGAGAGCCUGACCGAGGGUACUUGAAGCAACAGCAUCGGCUAACUCCGUGCCAGCAGCCGCGGUAAUACGGAGGAUGCGGGCGUUAUCCGGAUUUAUUGGGUUUAAGGGGUGCGUAGGCGGACUGUUAAGUCAGCGGUAAAAGCCCGGGGCUCAACCCCGGCGAGCCGUUGACACUGGCGGUCUUGAGAUGUCGAGAGGUAUGCGGAAUGCGCAGUGUAGCGGUGAAAUGCUUAGAUAUUGCGCAGAACUCCGAUUGCGAAGGCAGCAUACCGGCGGCGAUCUGACGCUGAGGCACGAAAGCGUGGGUAUCGAACAGGAUUAGAUACCCUUGUAGUC
rnacentral:rRNA from 1 species